UUAGGAUUGAGUGGUUGGAUCUCCUUGCAGUCCAAGGGACUCUCAAGAGUUUUCUCCAACACCACAGUUCAAAAACAUGAAUUCUUCAGCACUCAGCUUUCUUUGUGGUCCAACUCUCACAUCCAUACCUGACUACUGGAAAAACCAAAGCUUUGACUAAACAGACCUUUGUUGGCAAAGUAAGCGGUCUGCUUUUUAAUACAAAUAAACAACUGAACAACACAAAAGGGUUCUGAGUAGAAAUGAAGGAGCUGUCUUUGUCCCACCACUGGCAGUUACUGGAUGCUGGUCAGCAAGUCUAAAGGCAAAGCCAUAGAUCACACAAAGCCAACUAUGGAACCUUGGGCCCUGUUAAUAACUUACACAGAAUCUUCAGUGUAUGUAUGGCCAAAUGGUAUUUGUAUUCUUGAAUGCCACACUGCUGGGUACAUUCUCAAUAUCUGACAGCACAGAGUCUAAAACAAACAAUCUAAAGGAGAAUUUCAUUGUGUAGGUAAUUUCAGAGCAUCCUUGAGGUCAAGAAAUAAAAUGUUGGCCAGAUAGCUCAGAGGUCAAGAUCUGGGCAUGUGUUUUUCACUGCCUCCAGCUACAACUACUCCUGGUGUUCAGAAAGGCUUAACAAGAAUCAGGACAAUUUCUGAGUGUUUAUCAGCAGCUGCCAGAAUUGUGUACAGCACAGAGAGCAACAUUAUUUGGUGUCCUGGGUGGAAGCUGUUUUCUUUUUUCUUCCCUGAAAUAAUAGCUACAAUUUAAAUAUCAUCAACGUGUGUCUCCAGGUGUCCAGAAAACUCUGGAAGAAGACUGGCCCCUGGAAGAAAUGAUCAGUAGCCCAAGGACUUCUGGUCACAGCGCUGUGCAGAGAUCUUCCAGUGUUCUUCAGAAGGCCAUCCUGUCUCCAUGAGUCAUAACCAGGGCUGUUGUUCCCAGUACAUCAGUGAGCAUCAGGAAAAUAUUAAAUGCUCCUUAACUGGUUAGUGAAUAGGCACUGAUCUGAGCUCUCUGAGUGCCCUUCCACCUCUCCAGACACCCUGGCUGCAGGAAUCCCUGGUGAGCACUAAAGCAGAACAGCCUUUGAACCAGCUAAGUCUUCCGCUGCCUGAGGUCGUCCUGCAUUUCCCCCCACCCUAUCCGCCUCCCACCAUUGCUGCCAGAGCUAUCAGACCCCAACCCUCCUGAAAGAGGGACUGUCAUCUUGCAGGGAAACAAGCCCAGUACCCACCUGACCACCCCAAGGCUGCAGUGUCCUGCUUGCCUUGCCUUUUGCAUGGCCUCUUUGGGCCCAUAGUGUUGAAGUAUUUUGACUAUCCUCCUAGUCACAGUCACACUCUCCUGCCCCUACAUCUCUGCC
rnacentral:lncRNA from 1 species